UGACUCACAGUGAUCCAAAAAAUGCUGUUUAUAUGGGUAUCUAAUACCUUGUUGUCUGUGUUUUGCGUAAUAGUGAUUUUGUUUGACUCAAUUGUUUCAAAGCAGAAGAUGAAGUUAGGGAUGCAGUCCUGGUAACAGAUGGAGAUAGUGAUAUCGGCCAGGUUUGCUUGCCUUUUUUUAACUCCUUAUCAUUACAUGCCUCAUUUGAUUAGAAGUUGUCAAGGUUUUAAUCGCGAUUGUGUCGCGAUCCUUGAUAUAUUGCAUAGAAUCUCAGUCAAAUGCAAUUGAUGUUGUCUUAAUCCCCUUUGCAUUGCACUCGCAGUAAAAAAAAACUUGAUAUCAUGGCCUAGAUCGCAGUCAGAUGCACUGUUUGAAAUUAACCUUGUUGCUUGAUAAGAUGAUGCAUCCGAGUAUUGAAAUUCUGGUUUAUAUUCUUGUUUUAAAUGCAUAUGAUAGGUAAGAAUUACAAAGACAUGGUUGCUUAUGACUAAAAAGUCCGUAUAAAGAUAAACUGAUUAAAUGUUAGUUGUUUGAUCUUGGAUGGUAGACGAUCCGAUUCCCUCAGGCAAUGCAUUGUCUGAGAUAAAAAAUAAUUUGCACUUUAUUUUUGUAGUCAGUAAGUUGCCUUCAUAGAAUCUGAUAAUUCAUAAAUGGUGUUGUAUCCAUAACAUUCAUUGAUUCACAUCAAUGAUUGAAUUCUGAUUUGUGCUAUUGUCAUUGGUUGUAAACAAAUCUCGAAUAAAGGCAUUGGUGAAGGAUAAAAGAGUUGCACUCGAAGCCUUUGGAAGUUAUGUUGAGUCAAUGACAGGUGAUACAAGCGACAAUCGAUUCCUCAUGAAAGCGUUAAAGAGGAGUUCGCACAAUUAUAUGCCCAAACGAGGGUUUUAUUUCUAGUGUUGGUAGCCUUCAAGGGGUAAAGCAUUUGGUCCUCUUAUCACAGUUGUCAGUUUAUAGUGGUAAAACUGGCAUUGAAUCUAUGAUGAAAAACAAUGCAAAGAAAUUGGCUGAGCAAGAUGA